CGCGUAUACAAUCUACCUUUUACAGGGGCAUAGCCCGGGGAAACCCGGAUUAAUAUCCCAUGGUAUCAAGACAUGGCAUCAUGAUUUGAUUAAAGCUUCGGCGGUAAAAGAUGAGUAUGCGUCCUAUUAGUUAGUUGGUAAGGUAACGGCUUACCAAGGCAGCGAUAGGUAGGGGUCCUGAGAGGGAGAUCCCCCACACUGGUACUGAGACACGGACCAGACUCCUACGGGAGGCAGCAGUGAGGAAUAUUGGACAAUGGGCGAGAGCCUGAUCCAGCCAUGCCGCGUGCAGGAAGACGG
rnacentral:rRNA from 1 species